AUCGCUUCUCGGCCUUUUGGCUAAGAUCAAGUGUAUUAGUUUAUCUUAUUCCAUUUGUGUUUCUAUGUGAGUGAGUUUUCUGAAAAUGGCAUGUAAAUAGUUGGAUCUCACUUUUUCACCUAACUCAGCAACUCUA
rnacentral:snRNA from 1 species